rnacentral:sRNA from 1 species
UAAGGUUCGACUCGAGCGUAGCGAGAGAACGUUGCCGCAGGCAACGGCCCGAAGGGCGAGGCGCUUUAGCGCCGAGUAAUCCUUCCCCCACCACCA